GGUUCUUUGAAAAAAAGAAUGAAGAAUCGGACCUGCCCGGUGAUGAGAAUUUAACGGCCGCGGUAUUUUAACUGUGCGAAGGUAGCAUAAUCAAUUGUCUAUUAAUUGUAGACUGGAAUGAAUGGUUUGACUUAAAAUUAAUUGUCUUAAAUAUAAAUUGAAUUUUUUGUUUUUUUGAAGAGAAAAAAAUGAGAUAAUGGGACGAGAAGACCCUAUUGAGCUUUAUAUCUAGAAGUAUAAACAUAGGUAGAGAGUAAUAUACAAGAGAUAUUUUACUGGGGCGGUAGUGAUUUAUUUUUUUGAAUAAAACAAGUAUAAAUUGAAGUUAUACAAAUAAGUGAAGAGUUGAUCCAAUAAAUAUUGAUAAUUAGACUAAGUUACUGUAGGGAUAACAGCGUAAUUUUGUUUAGAAGUACAGAUUUAUAACAAAGAUUGCGACCUCGAUGUUGGUUUAGGGUUCUUAUUUGGCGCAGUUGCUAAAAAUAAGUAGUCUGUUCGACUAUUAAAUUCCUAUA
rnacentral:rRNA from 1 species